rnacentral:rRNA from 1 species
UUUUUUAAUUGAAAACUGGGAUGAACGGUAGAUACUGAUGGGAUUGUUUUAUUUUAUAAAUUUGAAUUUAGAUUAAAAUUAAAAAUAUUUUUAUAAACUCUUGGGACGAGAAGACCCUAGAAGCUUAAAAUUUAAUAAUUUUUAAUUGGGGCAAUUUUUGAAGAAAAAAAUUUUUAAUAAGUAAAAAUAUUUUUUGUAGUUACUCUAGGGAUAACAGCGUAAUUUAAUUGGUAAGUUCUUAUUAAUAAUAAAGUUUGCGACCUCGAUGUUGAAUUAAUUUUUAUUUUAGGUGAAGGGGCUUAGGAAGGUAAGUCUGUUCGACUAUUAAAAUAUUACGUGAUCUGAGUUCAGACCG